rnacentral:rRNA from 1 species
AAUAUUGCGCAAUGGUGGAAACCCUGACGCAGCGACGCCUCGUGAACGAUGAAGGCCUUCUGUUCGAAAAGUUCUGUUCUCAGGGAAGGAUAAAUGACGGCACCGGAGGAGGAAGCCCCGGCGAACUAAGUGUCAGCAUCCGCGGUAAUACGAAGGGGGCAAGCGUGGUCCGGAAUUAUUGGGAGUAAAGGGUGCGUAGGCGGCCUUUUAAGUCAGAUGUGAAAGACCACAGCUGAACUGUGGGAUUGCAUUUGAAACUGAAGGGCUUGAGUGUCGGAGAGGGUAGUGGAAUUCCCGGAGUAGCGGUGAAAUGCGUAGAUAUCGGGAGGACCACCAGUGGCGAAGGCGACUACCUGGACGACAACUGACGCUGAGGCACGAAAGCUAGGGGAGCAAAC